ACGGGUGAGUAACACGUGGGUAACCUACCCAUCAGAGGGGGAUAACACUUGGAAACAGGUGCUAAUACCGCAUAACAGUUUAUGCCGCAUGGCAUAAGAGUGAAAGGCGCUUUCGGGUGUCGCUGAUGGAUGGACCCGCGGUGCAUUAGCUAGUUGGUGAGGUAACGGCUCACCAAGGCCACGAUGCAUAGCCGACCUGAGAGGGUGAUCGGCCACACUGGGACUGAGACACGGCCCAGACUCCUACGGGAGGCAGCAGUAGGGAAUCUUCGGCAAUGGACGAAAGUCUGACCGAGCAACGCCGCGUGAGUGAAGAAGGUUUUCGGAUCGUAAAACUCUGUUGUUAGAGAAGAACAAGGACGUUAGUAACUGAACGUCCCCUGACGGUAUCUAACCAGAAAGCCACGGCUAAUUACGUGCCAGCAGCCGCGGUAAUACGUAGGUGGCAAGCGUUGUCCGGAUUUAUUGGGCGUAAAGCGAGCGCAGGCGGUUUUUUAAGUCUGAUGUGAAAGCCCCCGGCUCAACCGGGGAGGGUCAUUGGAAACUGGGAGACUUGAGUGCAGAAGAGGAGAGUGGAAUUCCAUGUGUAGCGGUGAAAUGCGUAGAUAUAUGGAGGAACACCAGUGGCGAAGGCGGCUCUCUGGUCUGUAACUGACGCUGAGGCUCGAAAGCGUGGGGAGCAAACAGGAUUAAAUACCCUGGUAGUCCACGCCGUAAACGAUGAGUGCUAAGUGUUGGAGGGUUUCCGCCCUUCAGUGCUGCAGCAAACGCAUUAAGCACUCCGCCUGGGGAGUACGACCGCAAGGUUGAAACUCAAAGGAAUUGACGGGGGCCCGCACAAGCGGUGGAGCAUGUGGUUUAAUUCGAAGCAACGCGAAGAACCUUACCAGGUCUUGACAUCCUUUGACCACUCUAGAGAUAGAGCUUUCCCUUCGGGGACAAAGUGA
rnacentral:rRNA from 1 species